CGCUGGCGGCAUGCCUUACACAUGCAAGUCGAACGGCAGCGGACCUUCGGGUGCCGGCGAGUGGCGAAACGGGUGAGUAACUAUAUCGGAACGUACCUUUCAGUGGGGGAUAACGUAGCGAAAGUUACGCUAAUACCGCAUAUUCUGUGAGCAGGAAAGCAGGGGAUCGCAAGACCUUGCGCUGAUUGAGCGGCCGAUAUCAGAUUAGGCUAGUUGGUGAGGUAAAGGCUCACCAAGGCGACGAUCUGUAGCGGGUCUGAGAGGAUGAUCCGCCACACUGGAACUGAGACACGGUCCAGACUCCUUACGGGAGGCAGCAGUGGGGAAUUUUGGACAAUGGGCGCAAGCCUGAUCCAGCCAUGCCGCGUGAGUGAAGAAGGCCUUCGGGUUGUAAAGCUCUUUCGGCCGGGAAGAAAUCGCACGGGUUAAUACCCUGUGUGGAUGACGGUACCGGAAUAAGAAGCACCGGCUAACUACGUG
rnacentral:rRNA from 1 species